UACAGAGGGUGCGAGCGUUGUCCGGAAUCACUGGGCGUAAAGGGCGCGUAGGUGGCGCGACAAGUCAGUGGUGAAAGCUCGACGCUCAACGUCGAGUCGGCCACUGAGACUGUUGGGCUGGAGCACUGUAGAGGCUAAUGGAAUUCCGGGUGUAGCGGUGGAAUGCGUAGAGAUCCGGAAGAACACCGGUGGCGAAGGCGGGUCUCUGGGCCGAUACUGACGCUGAGGAGCGAAAGCGUGGGGAGCGAACAGG
rnacentral:rRNA from 1 species